AUGACCAAAGCAAAGCAACCCCUCAGCAAGUUGGAUGAUCUGAAUGCUACAGAGUAUGCAGAUAUCAUCUUCUAUAGUUGUGGAGAACCUGGACACCACAAGACCAACUGCCCAAAACCACCUGCCUGCUUCAUAUGCAAAGUGGUGACACACAAGGUGGAGGACUGUCCAGUAAGGAAGAAGCUAAGAAAUCCAGCAAAAUUUGUUGGUAGUGGGGCCCCUGGACUUGGAUACCACCAGAUUGAUGUCCCUGAUGUGAAUGAACAACACAUUGGAGUUAAGAGGAAUAUAGGAAUUGUCUAUGUAGAGCCAGGACAGUUGAGUGUAGCCAGAUAUCCUCUUUUUGGAUUGCCUGAGUUAGAAGGAGUCACAGUGAAUGUAGAAGUGUGGAAAGGGGUACUAGAACACCAUAGUGAACUGCAAAAGGUAUGGCUUCAGCUGGAUGGGGUUGCACCAGCCUGGGCUGAAUGGGCAGUAUUGGAGCAAUUUGCAUCUGUGUUUGGAAUCCUGAUUGAUGUUGAUUGGCAAGGGAAUUUCAAGUCAUUCUUUGAGGUGGUCAGGAUCAAGAUCAAAUGUAAAGAUCACACCAAAAUACCCCCUGAAAGCAUGGAGCAGAGCUACAACAUCCUGCAAGGAAUGGAACUUCAAGAGGAUGAGGAUGAGAUGGAAGAUCUGCUAACUGAAGAUGGGAAUGCAAUAGAUAGAGAUGGAGAAGAGGUGAUUUUCAGCCCCCAGUUUGAACCAGAAAAUGGCCCCAACCCUCAGCCUCCUACUGAUGAGACAGUAAUUCAGCAUGGGCACAAAGAGGGGAAAAACAAAUGGGGCCCAGUUCAAGCAUUCAGGAAAAGCAGCAGGGUUGAAGUGGGAGGCAGAACCAUGCUAGAGAUUGCAAUCAACACUAAGAAGGUGCAUAACUUGGAAGGCACAAAGAAUGACACCAAAGAAGUAGCUAAGAAGAUAGGAAUAGAGGUAGAUACUAGUUACAAUUCCACUGUAGAAGCUAGUUCUUCCAGCUCUCUGCCUUUGUCUGAAGGACAAAAUGCAGGGGAAUUUGAGCAAUUUAAUGCUGGUUUGAAUAGUAGUGCUGUUGAUAAGCAAAAAAGUAAGAUGGAUGUAUUUUGCAAUAUGACCCAACUAGUAGAGAAGCCCGAAGGGCCCCCAGAUAUUAGUAGUCUAAUUGAUUACCCUAGACUCACAAAAAAACCUGGGCAAAGGAGCCUGGAGGGCAAGGAUGAAUUCAUCUCUGAACUCCAUAAUGCAAUGUUUCCUUUAAGUAGUUCUCAAGCUCUCCCUAGAACUGGUAGUGAUCACACACCUAUCUUGUGGGAUUCUGGUGUGGAUGGUACCCCAAAAAACUCAAGCUAUAAGUUUGAGAAAUGGUGGCUACUAAGAGCUGAAUUUAAAGAGCUUGUGGAGAAAAAUUGGUCUGCUCCUGUCAAAUGUACCUCCCCCAUGGACAUUUAG
rnacentral:rRNA from 1 species